GGGGAUAGCAGCCUUGAAACAGCUCUGGUUUUGCUGAAACAUGAGUCUACAAUGGGGGCAGGGGAUAGCAGGAAUACUAUCACCACUAAAUGGCUGUUUAUUGCUUUAUGGAAUUCUCUGCAAUUCCUGUUUCUCUCCAUGUUUUGUUAAACUAAGUGAGGAAUUGUGCUGAAAGUGACGAGGUAUUCCUUCUGUACCACUUACUUGUUCGAGUAAGGAGGAGGAUUCACUGUCUUCCAAGGGGCUGAUAGGGCUUCAGUCCCUUCCUUGUCCCCCUUCCAGCCUCCAGUUCAUUGUGGGACACACUUGGGGCAGAUGGAUGACCGCAUCCAGAAAGGUAGAAAAGGAUUGAGUGUUUCAAAUUCCUUUGCCUCGGAGUUGUGAAAGUUAUCUACUGCUCUUCGUGACUUUCUUUCUUGUUUCAUAAUUUUGUUCUUCCUUACAAAGGAGACUUUGAUAAGAGGAUAUUACGUCCUCAGUUGAAUCAUUUGCCAUGAAGCACUAUAUGAGUUUUCUUCAGUCUACCUCAAAAUGGUGGCNAGCUGACUUGGCCAGAAGUAAAAACUGACUGCAACUGUCUUAGGAAAGGAUCAGCGCUGACGCUGUGCUGGACGUUUGAAUACAUCCGUGAUUGCUGCCAGCUGCAGGCUGAGUGCCUCCUGAGUUGCUGAGGUCUCCUGUGUCCACUUCUGUUGCCUGAUGGUAAUCUGCAGGAAAGGCAUGGCAGGAUUUUACAAAUGCAGGGAGAAGCGGAGCACAUGGAUUUCUAAACACGCUGGGAUUUUAUACAGCUACAAAAAUAAGAACGACAACAGAACCUGACCCUACCGAAAGCAGUCAAAUGAAUCGUAAUUGCAGAUCAAUGCAGAGAAAUGGGGAAACUUCACUCGAAGCAUGGUUAGUUCCUUUCACUUGCUACUUCCUUAGCCCUUUCCCCUUAUUCGGAUUUUACUUGGUUUGUUGCUGUGAUUUUAUACUGGUGUCUAACGAUCUUCCUUUAUUAUUUUCCUCACACACUUUCCUCUGGAUCUGCCUAGCCGCCGUUUGUAAACCCAGAGAAAGUCCGGAAGGUGAUAGUUUUGCGGUGAACGCCUCUCUGGCUCGCAAAGGGCUGGAGGACUGGAUGGUGAAGCAGAAAUACUCCGGGGGCAGCGGCAGCAGCAGCGGAGGCAGCAGCUCGGGACUCCAGGGCUGCCAGCACCGGACUGCUUGCGGGCUCUCCAGCGGCAGGGCUAACGGUUACUGGUGGACAGUUCUUCUGUGUCAACAGAUGCUAUGA
rnacentral:lncRNA from 1 species